rnacentral:lncRNA from 1 species
AUGAGACCACAGUUACAGUCCAGGGGAAGUGGUGGCCCCUUCAGCAGCAGCUUGAAGAUGCUCACUGGAAGAAAGGAGCCUUCAUGUUCCCAGGAUCAAGGAAUGUCGUCCAGCUGUUAUCCUGCUCCCUUUCAAGAUGAUGUCAGGCUAAUCAACACAGACUUUUGAACACAGUCUAAAUUCUCCUCAUCCAACCACUCUGCACAUGCAAAAAGAAAACAAUGAGCUCUGAGCCUUGGACUGGCUAUGCCCAUUCAGGAUCACUUAGUACACCAGUCAUCAGCAUCAGAAAAGGAGAAAAAAUGUUCAGAAACUCACCCCUGU